GAUCGGUAUCGCUAUAAUCGAUAUUUUCAAAUUUUGGAAAACAUCGUAUGGCUAUCUUAGUAUCGAUAUAUCGAAAAUGGCUACUUUGGCGUUGAUUUUGACUGUGUAAGAACACUAGCCAGAGAACAGUAAGUAAGUGUAGUGAAAACAUGGAUCCGUUUUUGGGAAGAAAACGUAUAUACGAUUGACAUAUCGUAUUGGAAAGGCAUGGAAUCAUAGCUUGUGUGUUUUAGGCGCGGCGGGGGUUGAAGCCAUUGACUCUGAUGAGGAAAAUAAAAACAUGGGAGCCCCAAAAAAAUUAAAGGUAUGGAAAUAUUGCGAGAAAGGAAAGGAUGGUUGUGCGGUGUGCAAAACGUGCUUUAAGGUUUGUAAAACAAGUGGAAAUGCCACAAACCUUCAAAAUCACUUAAGGCUGGCCGCGAUAAGCGAUGCGAUGCUAUAAGCGAUAAUUAUCGCAGCGAUCUGCAAAGCAAUGACAUGACAGUGAAAGCUAUCCGCAAAGAGAGAAACAUUGCGAGUAUUCAAAUUGUACUCAUUGCGAGUGUUCAAAUAUUAGUCCCAGUCGCAAUAUUUUCAUGAAAAAAGCAACGGGAUCCAUCCAAUACUAUCAAUACUUUUGAUUUUUCACAGUUCAAGUAUAAAGGAGAGCAAAUACAUAGAUAAGAGUAUAAACAGUUUUGAACCAAACUGCUAUUAAAGCUUUAAUUGCGAAAAAGAACAUGCUUCACCGACUAACCAACGCGUUGCAACGGUUACUUAAGCUCAGAACGCAACAAAAACACACGUAUCAGAAAAGCUUUAGGAUUUAGGAAUCCUUUCUCGCAACUCGCUCUACUUGUCGUUUUGGCUCUCUUCUCGCUUCGCUUGCAAUCUGACAUGUUUUAAGCGAUUACAUAUAAAUCUGCAUGUAGAGCUUUCUCGCAUAUUGUCGCUCAAUAUUAUCGCGCCGCUUAUCGCGGCCACUCUAACAUCAGCCAACACGCAUGCAUCAAUCGCUGCAAGAGAGUGAAUUGCCACUCAAGUCCGGUAGCAUUUUACACAUCUUGCAGGAAAAAAAAUAGCCGAUGAAUUUGUGGCCGCAGCCCUUUGGUCUAGUGGAUGAGCCUUCAUUUAAAAUUGUUUGCCAAGUGCUUGAUCCACACUACGGAUUGCCGUGUAGGAGUACUUUAAAACAUGUUCAAAUGGAGACCACGCUGUUUGAUAUUCUUGAAUCCAUCGAAAAUUUGGCCAUUACUGCCGACUUAUGGACGUCUUUGGCAAAUAUGACUUACAUAACCGUAACUUACCAUGUUAUUGAUAAAGAGUUCAUAUUGCGUUCCGCAGUGUUGUCGACGAACACACUUAAUGAACAGAAGAAUCACACUGCAGGAAAUAUUGCAGAGUCGGUGUCAAGCAUUUUAAGUGAAUGGAACCUACUCCACAAAGGUGCGGCACUUGUCACUGACAAUGAUGCGACGAUGGUCAAAAUGUGUAAAAUUAUCGCAAAGAGAAAUUUGCCGUGCUUAGCGCACACGCGCUAAUAUGCAAGUAAUAGUCGCCAAAUGCAAAAAUAUUGCAUAAAGUGCUAAAGUUCUUUUAAACACGGUUAAUGCACCGCCACCCCUGACUGCAGAGGAGGUAGAUGUUAUGUAGGAUCGCGUUCAUCUUUUGCAACCAUUUGAUGUUGCCACAAAAAAAUCAUGCUCUUCAAAUACAGCGACGGCGAUGCUUUCAAAAAUACGCUUCUAACUGAGGAAGGUCUACAAAUGCGUGAUCUUUUCGUGAACAAAAUAAACGCAAGGCUUCUGGACUAUGAGUACCGCACACCAACGAGAUUAGGAACACUGCUGGAUCCAAGGUUUAAAACUGAAUUUUCGUCACCAUUCCACACGAAGGAGGCUAUGAAAUUGUUGUUGUUAAGCUAACACUUUUAAAUAAAGAUUUGCAACGGCCAAAAGAGAUCUCUCCAAAACCAAAUGAGCCAACCGAACCCAACCAA